rnacentral:rRNA from 1 species
AUACGUAGGUGACAAGCGUUAUCCGGAUUUACUGGGCGUAAAGGGCGUGUAGGCGGUCUUGCAAGUCAGAAGUGAAAUUCCUGAGCUCAACUCGGGCGCUGCUUCUGAAACUGCAGGACUUGAGUGCAGGAGAGGAAAGUGGAAUUCCUAGUGUAGCGGUGAAAUGCGUAGAUAUUAGGAGGAACACCAGUGGCGAAGGCGACUUUCUGGAAUGUUACUGACACUGAGGCACGAAAGUGUGGGGAGCAAACAGGAUUAGAUACCCUGGUAGUCCACGCUGUAAACGAUGAAUACUAGGUGUAGGGGGUAUCAACUCCCUCUGUGCGGCAGCAAACGCAAUAAGUAUUCCGCCUGGGGAGUACGGCCGCAAGGUUGAAACUCAAAUGAAUUGACGGGG